rnacentral:lncRNA from 1 species
UCAAACUUGAGGUCCCUGGAAACCACUCAGGAAUUGUAAGCAAGGAAGAAUUAGCCCGAUCGUGCCUCCGGAAGAUCCCUCGGUCCGAAUGGUGGAGAAGUGGUCAGAAGGAAGAGCCACAGGUAGACGAGAAACAGCUGAGACACAGUGGCAGUGCCUAGGCCAGAGGAAGGAGGCCGACCUCCCAGGACCUCUUCUCCUGCCUCCCACCAAAUCCCUCCGUGUUCAGAGCUGCAGAGACCGCCAGUCCCCUCCCACGCACGUGUCCCCUCAGCUUCACAGUAAGUCACCUGCGGGCAACACAUCCCGGUUUCUCCCACCUAGGCUGGGGAGGCCCUGGGUCAGCGCUGGGGCCGGGAUCGACACCCAGGUCUCCGAUAACUGGUCCAGGCCUGUGUCCCUGCAGCCGGGUAACACAGUGACAGAGAAGGAGGCUUGGGGCGUGCCAUCGAGGUGCCAAACCUGGCCCCGCGACUUAGUAGCUGAUGCCGUGAGUGAUUUGCUUAAUCUCUCUCUGUGCCUCGGUUUCCCCAACUGCGAGAAGAGGGUUUUAACAAAAGUAGCUACCCCACCGGUGGGUUUGUAGAUUGAAUGAGUGGUUACAGGAAGCCACUUAACCUGAUACCUGUCCUGUAGCAGGUGUUCAGAGAAUUCCAACGAUAAUCGCUGGUAGCCAGGGUGUUUCCCCGGCCUGGGCGAGGGGAAAACCAGUCACUAAGUUGGGCCCCAGGUUCAAGGGGAAGGGAAUCAGGCUGCACUUUCGAAAAAAGGAAUGUCAACGAAUAAUGGGCACGUUCUAAAAGCCUCCUAUUUGGCACCUCUGUGUGAUGAAAUGCCACCUAAUUGUUACUAGCCAUGGUGGCAGCCGGGCUGAGCACACGAGCUGGCCUCCCCCCAAACCCCUGCUCUUAAGCAUCAUCUCAUGGUGCACGUUAAGCCGCGUGGGUGAAAUCACACACCUUCUCUCUCCAAGGGCAGCAGCAGGAGCCUCUGUUAGUCUGACACCUCUGUGCCCAGACCUCAAGGGAACCAGAUCUGCCUCCCCAGGGCCGGCGUGGGCCACCCCCCCCCCACCACCGUCUGCUUGCUGAGUGCCGGGCUCUGAGUCUGAGAGGCGGCCUUGCCUUCCCAGCCGCCCAGUGACAGUGAAGAAUGACAGGCUCUCCGUUCAAGGGUGCGCACCGGCCCUUAUCAUGGGAGAGUGAUGUCUGCAGCACUGAGCCGCAGAUCCCGCUUGCCCGGUCAGCACUCUGCGGUGGGCAGGGCAGCCGCAAGACGCAGACACCGCACUUGACAAACUCCCCGGGGGCAGGGCAGCCGGGCAGGAGCAGAAUGAAAUCAGAAGGGAGGGAGACGGGCCCGGCGUCUUGACCGGGCUCCAGGAGAGGAAUCUAAGAGGGAGAAAAUGGGUGGCCUUGGUCAUAAAGGGAAUUGAUUGGCCAGGGACCUGCUGAGGUCAGUAGAAUGACCUUGGCUGGCCCUGCUUCCUGGAGAAACGGCGUCCUCGGAGACUUCGACUCACCUAGGUUCAAUUAGCCAAGAAGCUGUGCUGGGCCCGGAAGAGGCGGGCGGAGGCUUUCCAAUUA